AGUUAUAUGAAAAAAAUAUAACGCAUGUAUUUAUUAUCAUAUAUAUUUUAAAUCAAGCGAUUACCACUGAAUAUAAAAGGAUCUUCUUUAUUCGCUGUUUUGCGCCCUUUUCCAAUCAACGAGAUUACCAGUUCAAACUAUGGACUGCACCCACACCCGUUGAAGAAGACCGGAACCCAGAAAAAUCUUAGGAGACUCCCGUGUGGCGAGCCAAGGCUUUACCAGCUGGCCAUCCUCCUAUUACGAUUGAUUUAUUUUGCCAAAAUCAAUUUCUGAUUUUACGAUGUUUUCUAUUAAAAAAUUAUCCGAAAGAAAAUUUUGAGACAAGUAUGAAAUACUAUAUAAGAUGCUAUUUUCAUUUUGAACUUUAAGAAUUAUUUUUAUAGAUUAUAUUAUACGUAUUAAAUGUAUGUAUGCGGAUAUCUUUAUUAAUUUAGAUAUAGAAAUCUUAAAACUGCCACAAAUACUACCGCAUGACGAUAGAUUAAAAGAUGUCGCCCACCAUAAUAGUCUUUCGUGGUUCCCGAAAUGUAAUGCGUGGCCCUUGGAUGGCCUGAGGAACAAAGUAACAAAUGAAACAAAACAAAUGAAGUAACAAAUUUUAUCCUAUACUUAAGAUGAGCCUUUAAAUGUGAUGAGCCUUUAAAUGGCGUUGUUUGUUCCAUUUAUAUUUUAUUCUCUCAUUUAUUGAUUAUAAGCCACUAUAUAAUCUGAUUAAUCAAUCGAUGUAAUUUCCUUCGCCAGAGCCCAUUUAGCCGAAGAAUUAGAAGUCAGCAUUCUGAAUAAUAGCCAUUUUUGGCUUUAUAAAUGUCAGAUAAUUAUCCUGGAAUUCUAUUUCUUUGUUACCACCUCCCACGACAUGGACGCUGGGUUGGACUUUUGGGAGGCAACCUGAAAAGGUCAAAUACGCUAUUAAGAUAUUUAAGAAAAAAAAAAAAAGACAAAUCAUAAUCGAACGGCUUUAGAAAUCCAAUAAAUUUCUUAAAAUAGUUUCCUGAAGUAAAUCAUUUUUGAUGUGAAAACUCUGAAGAUGAAAAUGGAUGUGGAUAAUGUUUUCUCGAGCGCCUCAAUUGCGUAUUCAUCCUAAAAAGUUAAUAAAUUACUUAAUCUACGUACUGUCUAUAGACAGAAAUUUGUAAAGAGAAUGAAAAUUUCAUUAAAAAGAAAAAGAUUAAUUUAGAUUGAUGAAAAUUACUUGCCUUGGCCGUAAAAAUUAAUGGUGGUAAUUAUAAUUUUAAAAAUGUAUCUUGACGGUCCAUUAGCAACUGCUCUGGCCGCUCCAGUUGAUUUACAGGGCGAAAAGGUUCAGAGAACGGCUCCAUACUUUUUCCCGAUGAAAUGCAGCAAUAUUUGCAUAUUGUUACAUUCCAUCGAGGAUCUGCCACUGCAGCAACAUUUCAUCGCUAAGCUUUGCAAACAUUGCUAAUGCUAAUUUAGGAUCCGAGCGUCGAGUCUUCGUUUCUUCACGUAACGAAAUUUUUUAGUAGCUCGUGUUGAUUUAAG
rnacentral:lncRNA from 1 species